rnacentral:rRNA from 1 species
AUGGACGGCACAACCAUGUUCCACUUCCUCCAAACAUGGACCACUUUCACUAGGGAUGGCGACCGGGCUUUGGUGAAUCUCCCAUGCCAUGACCGCUCCUGCUUGUAUGCGCGUGAUCCCCCUGCUAUUCAUCUCGAUGCCCUCUCUGUUUUUUGUCCCAAGAUGAUCCUAUCCCAGACCUCUGUUGCCAACAAGCUUGAGGUUUUCACCCUCCAUAAGCACCAUCUUUCCACUCUUAAGCACAUGUGCGGCGGCGUUGGCGUGAGCACCUUCGGUGUCCUCAGCGCCCACGCGUGGCAGUGCAUGUCUCUAGCCCGGAGGCUAGCGCCGGACUCCACAAAGUGCCUCACGUUCAUGGCCAACGUCCGAAGCAGAAUGACACCACCACUCCUAGAUAGCUACUUCGGCAACGCGAUAAUAGAUAUAAGUGUUGCCGAAGAAGCACAGAGCAUCACCUCCGGCGACCUAGCCUACGUCCCGCGCCGUAUCAGACACCAUCAGUCGGGUGGAUGA